AGCGAACGCUGGCGGCAGGCUUAACACAUGCAAGUCGAGCGGGCCCUUCGGGGUCAGCGGCAGACGGGUGAGUAACGCGUGGGAACGUGCCCUUCGGUUCGGAAUAACUCAGGGAAACUUGAGCUAAUACCGGAUACGCCCUUAUGGGGAAAGGCUUGCUGCCGAAGGAUCGGCCCGCGUCUGAUUAGCUAGUUGGUGAGGUUAUGGCUCACCAAGGCGACGAUCAGUAGCUGGUCUGAGAGGAUGAUCAGCCACACUGGGACUGAGACACGGCCCAGACUCCUACGGGAAGCAGCAGUGGGGAAUAUUGGACAAUGGGGGCAACCCUGAUCCAGCCAUGCCGCGUGAGUGAUGACGGCCUUAGGGUUGUAAAGCUCUUUUCUCCGGGACGAUAAUGACGGUACCGGAGGAAUAAGCCCCGGCUAACUUCGUG
rnacentral:rRNA from 1 species